AACGAACGCUGGCGGCAGGCUUAACACAUGCAAGUCGAACGCCCCGCAAGGGGAGUGGCAGACGGGUGAGUAAUGCGUGGGAACAUACCCUUUCCUGCGGAAUAGCUCUGGGAAACUGGAAUUAAUACCGCAUACGCCCUACGGGGGAAAGAUUUAUCGGGGAAGGAUUGGCCCGCGUUGGAUUCGCUAGUUGGUGGGGUAAAGGCCUACCAAGGCGACGAUCCAUAGCUGGUCUGAGAGGAUGAUCAGCCACAUUGGGACUGAGACACGGCCCAAACUCCUACGGGAGGCAGCAGUGGGGAAUAUUGGACAAUGGGCGCAAGCCUGAUCCAGCCAUGCCGCGUGAGUGAUGAAGGCCUUAGGGUUGUAAAGCUCUUUCACCGAUGAAGAUAAUGACGGUAGUCGGAGAAGAAGCCCCGGCUAACUUCGUGCCAGCCGCCGCGGUAAGAC
rnacentral:rRNA from 1 species